AUUGAACGCUGGCGGCAGGCCUAACACAUGCAAGUCGAGCGGAUGAAGGGAGCUUGCUCCUGGAUUCAGCGGCGGAUGGGUGAGUAAUGCCUAGGAAUCUGCCUGGUAGUGGGGGAUAACGUCCGGAAACGGGCGCUAAUACCGCAUACGUCCUGAGGGAGAAAGUGGGGGAUCUUCGGACCUCACGCUAUCAGAUGAGCCUAGGUCGGAUUAGCUAGUUGGUGGGGUAAAGGCCUACCAAGGCGACGAUCCGUAACUGGCCUGAGAGGAUGAUCAGUCACACUGGAACUGAGACACGGUCCAGACUCCUACGGGAGGCAGCAGUGGGGAAUAUUGGACAAUGGGCGAAAGCCUGAUCCAGCCAUGCCGCGUGUGUGAAGAAGGUCUUCGGAUUGUAAAGCACUUUAAGUUGGGAGGAAGGGCAGUAAGUUAAUACCUUGCUGUUUUGACGUUACCAACAGAAUAAGCACCGGCUAACUUCGUG
rnacentral:rRNA from 1 species